GGGUACCUACGGGGCGCAGCAGUGAGGAAUAUUGGUCAAUGGGCGGGAGCCUGAACCAGCCAAGUCGCGUGAGGGAAGACGGUCCUAUGGAUUGUAAACCUCUUUAGGCGGGGAGCAAUGCUGGGCACGCGUGCCCGGAGGGAGAGGACCCGCAGAAUAAGCAUCGGCUAACUCCGUGCCAGCAGCCGCGGUAAUACGGAGGAUGCGAGCGUUAUCCGGAUUUAUUGGGUUUAAAGGGUGCGUAGGCGGAUUUUUAAGUCAGCGGUAAAAUGUCCGGGGUCAACCCGGGCGGGCCGUUGAAACUG
rnacentral:rRNA from 1 species